rnacentral:rRNA from 1 species
CCUACGGGGGGCUGCAGUGGGGGAUAUUGGACAAUGGGGGGAACCCUGAUCCAGCGACGCCGCGUGAGUGAAGAAGUAUUUCGGUAUGUAAAGCUCUGUCAGCAGGGAAGAAAGAAAUGACGGUACCUGACCAAGAAGCCCCGGCUAACUACGUGCCAGCAGCCGCGGGAAUACGUAGGGGGCAAGCGUUAUCCGGAAUUACUGGGUGUAAAGGGAGCGUAGACGGUUAAGUAAGUCUGGAGUGAAAGGCCGGGGCCCAACCCCGGGACUGCUCUGGAAACUAUUGAACUUGAGUGCAGGAGAGGUAAGCGGAAUGCCUAGUGUAGCGGUGAAAUGCGUAGAUAUUAGGCGGAACACCAGUGGCGAAGGCGGCUUACUGGACUGUAACUGACGUUGAGGCUCGAAAGCGUGGGGAGCAAACAGGAUUAGAUACCCCAGUAGUC